GGCCAGCUCACAGAAGCCGCUGGGCAGGGUGCCAAGCUCAGCCCCACUGAGCCAGAGGAUCUUGAGGGCACGCAGGGCACUGAUAUCCUCAGCACGAGUCCCAUCUUCUUUCAGCCUCCAAAGCCGUCAGUCGUCCUGGACAGAAGUCAGAGGAGCAACCUUAUUGGGUACAUCAUAAACUGUGAGGAGGUCAAGGGAAUUCCAGGAUGGAAUGCAGAAUGUGACAAAACUAUCUGUACUACAAUGUAUGAAAUAACUUCGCUGCGAGGUGAUGGGCCAAAAUGUUAACCUAAGUGACUUUGGAAAUGAGUGGAAUCUGUUAGACUGCAGGCAAAAGAAACUGUAUGUCAACACUACACUCUACUUGGAAGUGGAACGUGGAAUUUCCAUGUCCUGAUGGGAGAUAAUUACAGGGAGAGAAAAGUCUGCUGUGGGUAUUGUGUAAUGUGCACCCAAAUACAGAAGAAUAAACCACGCCGUUAUCCAAAGAGUAAAAUCCUGCCUGAUUCUUGCUGGGAAUUCUGACAUUGGUUGAAACAAAACUUAAAAAAAAAAAAAAAA